rnacentral:rRNA from 1 species
UGGGGGGGGUCUUACCAUGACAAGUCGAGCGGAGAGGCCCUUCGGGGUACUCGAGCGGCGAACGGGUGAGUAACACGUGAGCAACCUGCCCCUGACUCUGGGAUAAGCCCGGGAAACUGGGUCUAAUACCGGAUAUGACCACUUCGGGCAUCCGAUGGGGGUGGAAAGUUUUUCGGUCGGGGAUGGGCUCGCGGCCUAUAAGCUUGUUGGUGGGGUAGUGGCCUACCAAGGCGACGACGGGUAGCCGGCCUGAGAGGGCGACCGGCCACACUGGGACUGAGACACGGCCCAGACUCCUACGGGAGGCAGCAGUGGGGAAUAUUGCGCAAUGGGCGGAAGCCUGACGCAGCGACGCCGCGUGGGGGAUGACGGCCUUCGGGUUGUAAACCUCUUUCAGCAGGGACGAAGUUGACGUGUACCUGCAGAAGAAGCGCCGGCUAACUACGUGCCAGCAGCCGCGGUAAUACGUAGGGCGCAAGCGUUGUCCGGAAUUAUUGGGCGUAAAGAGCUCGUAGGUGGCUGGUCGCGUCUGCCGUGAAAGCCCGCAGCUUAACUGCGGGUCUGCGGUGGAUACGGGCCGGCUAGAGGUAGGCAGGGGCAAGUGGAAUUCCUGGUGUAGCGGUGAAAUGCGCAGAUAUCAGGAGGAACACCGGUGGCGAAGGCGGCUUGCUGGGCCUUACCUGACGCUGAGGAGCGAAAGCGUGGGGAGCGAACAGGAUUAGAUACCCUGGUAGUCCACGCCGUAAACGUUGGGCGCUAGGUGUGGGACCCUUCCACGGGUUCCGUGCCGGAGCUAACGCAUUAAGCGCCCCGCCUGGGGAGUACGGCCGCAAGGCUAAAACUCAAAGGAAUUGACGGGGGCCCGCACAAGCGGCGGAGCAUGUUGCUUAAUUCGACGCAACGCGAAGAACCUUACCAAGGUUUGACAUCACCCGGACACUCCCAGAGAUGGGGGCUUCUUCGGACUGGGUGACAGGUGGUGCAUGGCUGUCGUCAGCUC